CUUUCAUCUGUGGGACUUCGGUUCCAUCUCGUUCCAUGGAUGAUGAUCAGAGCCGCCUCUCUUUUCUUUAAGAGCCAGGAUAUGAAUCAGAGAGAGAGAACUGAAGUCUUGUCUCAGGAAGAAAGAGGGCAGGCAGAGGAUUUUUCACUGGUAAGGCAACUUGCACACUUGUCCUUUUCAUAGUGAGUCAUGAUCUAUGAUACAUUUCAUAGCAAUGUCUAUGAGUUUCCAAUUCUGGAAUUAGACAUGCCA
rnacentral:lncRNA from 1 species